GAUGAACGCUAGCGACAGGCUUAACACAUGCAAGUCGAGGGGCAGCACGGGAGUAGCAAUACAACUGGUGGCGACCGGCGCACGGGUGAGUAACGCGUAUGCAACCUACCUAUCAGAGGGGAAUAACCCGGCGAAAGUCGGACUAAUACCGCAUAAAACAGGGGCACCGCAUGGUGAUAUUUGUUAAAGAAAUUCGCUGAUAGAUGGGCAUGCGUUCCAUUAGGUAGUUGGUGAGGUAACGGCUCACCAAGCCGACGAUGGAUAGGGGAACUGAGAGGUCGUUCCCCCACACUGGUACUGAGACACGGACCAGACUCCUACGGGAGGCAGCAGUGAGGAAUAUUGGUCAAUGGGCGGGAGCCUGAACCAGCCAGGUCGCGUGAAGGAAGAAGUAUCUAUGGUUCGUAAACUUCUUUUGCAGGGGAAUAAAGUGCAGGACGUGUCCUGUUUUGUAUGUACCCUGAGAAUAAGGAUCGGCUAACUCCGUGCCAGCAGCCGCCGUAAAAC
rnacentral:rRNA from 1 species